rnacentral:rRNA from 1 species
AAGACCUUGCGCUUUUGGAGCGGCCGAUGCCUGAUUAGCUUGUUGGUAAGGUAAAAGCUUACCAAGGCUUCGAUCAGUAGCUGGUCUGAGAGGACGACCAGCCACACUGGGACUGAGACACGGCCCAGACUCCUACGGGAGGCAGCAGUGGGGAAUUUUGGACAAUGGGAACAACCCUGAUCCAGCCAUGCCGCGUGAGUGAAGAAGGCCUUCGGGUUGUAAAGCUCUUUCAGCCGGAACGAAACGGUUACGGUUAAUACCCGUGACUACUGACGGUACCGGAAGAAGAAGCACCGGCUAACUACGUGCCAGCAGCCGCGGUAAUACGUAGGGUGCGAGCGUUAAUCGGAAUUACUGGGCGUAAAGCGUGCGCAGGUGGUUUUGUAAGUCAGAUGUGAAAGCCCCGGGCUCAACCUGGGAACU